rnacentral:rRNA from 1 species
AACGAACGCUGGCGGCAUGCCUAACACAUGCAAGUCGAACGAGACCUUCGGGUCUAGUGGCGCACGGGUGCGUAACGCGUGGGAACCUGCCCUUAGGCUCGGAAUAACCCCCCGAAAGGGGUGCUAAUACCGGAUAAUGUCCUCGGACCAAAGAUUUAUCGCCUUUGGAUGGGCCCGCGUUGGAUUAGCUAGUUGGUAGGGUAAAAGCCUACCAAGGCGUCGAUCCAUAGCUGGUCUGAGAGGAUGAUCAGCCACACUGGGACUGAGACACGGCCCAGACUCCUACGGGAGGGAGCAGUGGGGAAUAUUGGACGAUGGGCGAAAGCCUGAUCCAGCAAUGCCGGGUGAGUGAUGAAGGCGUUAGGGUUGUAAAGCUCUUUUACCCGGGAUGAUAAUGACAGUACCGGGAGAAUAAGCACCGGCUAACUACGUG